rnacentral:lncRNA from 1 species
GUGUAGAUGAGGAGGGAGCGUGCCAUUGAUGAAAGAUGAGAACAUGGUCAAUGCGCGGCCUGGUUGAUAGCUUGGAACGAAAUGUCCUGCUCCUCUUACUGUCACAAAUGUCAAGUUCUGGUAUUCUACUGCAUAACCACCAACCUAGAAAGGAAAAGGAUUAUAUGAAAUAAUUAAUUUAUGUACAUACAUGAUAUUCUGAAAAUAGACAUUGUACAUAGAGUUGAAGAAUAAUGACAACUUUGUUACCUCGCCUUGGAAGAACCAAGGGUACCAUGGUGUUUUGACUGGUGUUUUUAUUUUGUCUAUGGCAUAUGUACUUGUCGUCACAGAUAACAUAUGAUCUAUGUCUCCACUGAAAUUGUUAAAAACAAAGUCUUAAGAAAAUGUUAUUGUUUUGAAAUCACUAAAAUUCUGAAUUGUUUCUGAUGACUGCUUCCUUGCUUGAUUUACUUACCUAUAAAUCCAAACCCUAAUGCCACUUUGCAUGAGCUCUUGAAAGACUGUUAGAACAGAGUGCGGGGAGUCCUGCCAAGAGCCGAAUAUGAAACCACUGCACAAGUGAGAAAUGAAGAAAUUGAAAUUAAUCCCCAAAAGAUAAUAAUAAGCCUCAAGAAUGAAAAUGUUUUAGAGAACUCAAUGUAUUACUUGCAGGAAUCCCAGGAAUAGGGUGUAUCUUUGACAUUAAGGGCCUUUUGUACUUCAGCACUAUUUAGGUAAUUGUCUACGUAAUCAGCUGAGCAUGGAUCAAAUCCAUCUAUCUGUUAUACACAAAAGAAAAAGUUGCCAUCACAAAAUUUAAUAGAAGUAUGUAAAAUCUACAGAGAGGUGACUGGUGAGCGUAUUGGGGCGUAGAAUGUUGUUGUGCAUGGUCUUUUUUUUUUCCUCACCGUGAUCGUCACCUUAAUUUGGGCACUGCAAAUAUUUCUUUUUUCCUCAAUAAUGAAUGAGCAGUUAGCCAGUGGAACUUACAGGAAGGGAAGUAUAGACAGAGGAGUUGCACAGUUGGGAAUAUGUGUUGUAAGCAUAUAUAUUGCUUUGAGAUGAAUCUGCUUGCUUAAUGUACUCAUUACAUGCUUUUGAGGUUGUCUCUGCCGAGAAGUUGCAAUUCAAGACAAUUCCUUCAUGGACUUCAUCUGAUAUUAGAGCAUGGGUCCAAUAAAAGUCGUAUGUACCACUGUUCAUUGUUUCGUCAUCGAUGAUGCCAUUUCCAGUCUGAAAUCCAUGCCAUAUGCAUGCAAUUAAGACGCAGACACGAAAUAACUAGUGACUUAAUCAUGAGAAAAGUAAUUUAGUGACCAUUUGAAGCUUAGCUUACUGCUAUUCCUUGCAAGUUAAUGACAAGGUUUGGUUCUGUUUCCUUGUAGGAUAAGAUCAGCUGAGCAAGUUGAGGCACAUAGUGGCCAGCAUAACUCUCUCCAGUAAUAUAGAAAUCUCGGUGUUUAUAUUCUGGGAAUCUUUCCAUCCAAUUGAUGAGAAAGGUGAAACUGUCUUGUCUGGUCUUUUCGUCUCCAGUAGAAUAAUCUGUUGAUGUGUUAGAAUAAGAGAAUCCAACACCAGCAGGUGAUUCUAAAUAGAGGAUGUUUGCCACUGCAUUAAAUUUGCAAAAUUGUUGUCAUUGUUAUUUACAGGUUUGUGAUUUCUCUCAAUUGUGAUGACAGAUUUUGCAGAAGAGAGAGGUAUGAGUACCAUUGUUCCAGGCAAAAGGGUUGAGCAAUAAGGUUUUUCCAUCUUUAUUGACGCGGAAUGGUCCAAGUUCCAUCAUGGCUCCAGCCCCGAAUGAAGAGCAACCAGGUC